rnacentral:misc_RNA from 1 species
GUAUUAAUUGCGUGUGAUCGCAAAAGAAAAACAUUCUACACUGUAUCGAGUUUGUGUGAAAACGCAAGCCCCCUUCCUGGAUCGAAUCGAUCCCGAAGGGUGCCCACGCGGUGGUGCACAAGAGGGUGAGAUGGAUUUUAUGCGGGAGGACACGCUCUGGCGUGCACGACUUUAAAAAGUCAGCGACAGCCCUCGCAUGCCCUCACACAUUUUGUACGAUAAUGAUCCUUCCGCAGGUUCACCUACGGAAA